CCUACGGGAGGCAGCAGUGAGGAAUAUUGGUCAAUGGACGCGAGUCUGAACCAGCCAAGCCGCGUGAAGGAAGACGGCCCUAUGAGUUGUAAACUUCUUUUGUAUGGGAAUAAACGCAGAUACGAGUCUCUGUCUGAGUGUACCUUACGAAUAAGGAUCGGCUAACUCCGUGCCAGCAGCCGCGGUAAUACGGAGGAUGCCAGCGUUAUCCGGAUUUAUUGGGUUUAAAGGGUGCGUAGGCGGUCUGUUAAGUUAGAGGUGAAAGCCUGAGGCUCAACCGCGGAAUUGCCUUUGAUACUGGCCGGCUAGAGUAGAGUAGAGGUGGGCGGAAUGCGUGGUGUAGCGGUGAAAUGCUUAGAGAUCACGCAGAACACCGAUUGCGAAGGCAGCUUACCGGGCUACAACUGACGCUGAGGCACGAAAGCGUGGGUAGCAAACAGGAUUAGAUACCCUAGUAGUC
rnacentral:rRNA from 1 species